AACGAACGCUGGCGGCAGGCUUAACACAUGCAAGUCGAACGGGUGUAGCAAUACAUCAGUGGCAGACGGGUGAGUAACACGUGGGAACCUUCCUAGAGGUACGGAACAACUCAGGGAAACUUGAGCUAAUACCGUAUAAGCUCUUGCGAGGAAAGAUUUAUCGCCUUUAGACGGGCCCGCGUAGGAUUAGGUAGUUGGUGGGGUAAUGGCCUACCAAGCCUACGAUCCUUAGCUGAUCUGAGAGGAUGAUCAGUCACACUGGGACUGAGACACGGCCCAGACUCCUACGGGAGGCAGCAGUGGGGAAUCUUGGACAAUGGGCGCAAGCCUGAUCCAGCCAUGCCGCGUGAGUGAAGAAGGCCUUCGGGUUGUAAAGCUCUUUUACCAGGGACGAUAAUGACGGUACCUGGAGAAUAAGCCCCGGCAAACUUCGUGCCAGCAGCCGCAGUAA
rnacentral:rRNA from 1 species